rnacentral:rRNA from 1 species
UACGAAGGGGGCUAGCGUUGCUCGGAAUCAUUGGGCGUAAAGCGCACGUAGGCGGCCCAGCAAGUCAGAUGUGAAAUCCCUCGGCUUAACCAAAGGAAGUGCAUUUGAAACUGCAGGGCUUGAGUACUGGAGAGGGUCGCAGAAUUCUCGGUCGUAGAGGUGAAAUUCGUAGAUAUCGGGAGGAAUACCAGUGGCGAAGGCGGCGACCUGGUCAGAGUACUGACGCUGAGGUGCGGAAAGCGUGGGGAGCAAACAGGG